UGGGUCUCUGAAUCAUCACUUACAGAAAAAUUACUCUGAGAUCAAGAACAGUUGCUUUGAACUUUAUGUGAAUGAGGAGUAAACUUAUAAUGUCUUUGAGAGGAUUAUAAAGCCAAUUUUGAAACCUUGAACCAUUAAGACUAAUGUGAAAUUAUUCACAAAGUAUUAAGAUUGCCAAAGGAGCUUUCAAAACAGAUUUGGUCCAAACCUGCUUUUCUUUUAGCAUCCUGGCAACCAAGUGCCAUGCAAGAUACACUGAACUCAAAUCUACAGAGACUAUCAAUUGUUGAACAG
rnacentral:lncRNA from 1 species